rnacentral:misc_RNA from 1 species
GCAAACUUGGUCAUUUAGAGGAAGUAAAAGUCGUAACAAGGUCUCCGUUGGUGAACCAGCGGAGGGAUCAUUACCGAGUUUUCAACUCCCAAACCCACUGUGAACUUACCUUUACUGUUGCUUCGGCGGGUCUCGGCCCCGGCGCUGCCCUCUCCUCCUCGGGGGAGCGGGCGAGCCGGACAACACGGCCCCCGCCGGAGGAUUCAAACUCUUGAAUUUGCGCGGCUUGCCCGCGGCAGUCUUUGUAUUCUGAUUAACUUUUACAAAAUGAAUCAAAACUUUCAACAACGGAUCUCUUGGUUCUGGCAUCGAUGAAGAACGCAGC